rnacentral:rRNA from 1 species
UACGAAGGGGGCUAGCGUUGCUCGGAUUGACUGGGCGUAAAGGGCGCGUAGGCGGAUAGUACAGUCAGGCGUGAAAUUCCUGGGCUCAACCUGGGGGCUGCGUUUGAUACGUAUUGUCUGGAGUUCGGAAGAGGGUCGUGGAAUUCCCAGUGUAGAGGUGAAAAUUCGUAGAUAUUGGGAAGAACAACCGGUGGCGAAGGCGGCGACCUGGUCCGAUACUGGACGCUGAGGCGCGAAAGCGUGGGGAGCAAACAGG